rnacentral:rRNA from 1 species
AGAGUUUGAUCAUGGCUCAGAGUGAACGCUGGCGGCGUGCCUAACACAUGCAAGUCGAACGAGAACGGAUAUAAGUUUACUUAUAUUGUCAGCUAAGUGGCGCACGGGUGAGUAAUAUAUAGUUAAUCUGCCCUGAAGAAGAGAAUAAUUGUUGGAAACGACUUGUAAUGCUCUAUAUGCCUUUAUCACAUAAGUGAGCAAGGGAAAUAUUUAUAGCUUCGGGAUGAGACUGUACGGUAUCAGCUAGUUGGUGAGGUAAUGGCUCACCAAGGCUAUGACAUCUAACUGGUUUGAGAGGAUGAUCAGUCACACUGGAACUGAGACACGGUCCAGACUCCUACGGGAGGCAGCAGUGGGGAAUAUUGCACAAUGGAGGAAACUCUGAUGCAGCAACGCCGCGUGGAGGAUGACACAUUUCGGUGCGUAAACUCCUUUUAUUAGGGAAGAUAAUGACGGUACCUAAUGAAUAAGCACCGGCUAACUCCGUGCCAGCAGCUGCGGUAAUACGGGGGGUGCAAGCGUUACUCGGAAUCACUGGGCGUAAAGAGCAUGUAGGCUGAUUAGUAAGUUGGAAGUGAAAUCCUAUGGCUCAA